rnacentral:rRNA from 1 species
GACGAACGCUGGCGGCGUGCUUAACACAUGCAAGUCGAACGGAAAGGCCCUGCUUUUGUGGGGUGCUCGAGUGGCGAACGGGUGAGUAACACGUGAGUAACCUGCCCUUGACUUUGGGAUAACUUCAGGAAACUGGGGCUAAUACCGGAUAGGAGCUCCUGCUGCAUGGGGGGGGUUGGAAAGUUUCGGCGGUUGGGGAUGGACUCGCGGCUUAUCAGCUUGUUGGUGGGGUAGUGGCUUACCAAGGCUUUGACGGGUAGCCGGCCUGAGAGGGUGACCGGCCACAUUGGGACUGAGAUACGGCCCAGACUCCUACGGGAGGCAGCAGUGGGGAAUAUUGCACAAUGGGCGGAAGCCUGAUGCAGCAACGCCGCGUGCGGGAUGACGGCCUUCGGGUUGUAAACCGCUUUCGCCUGUGACGAAGCGUGCGUGACGGUAAUGGGUAAAGAAGCACCGGCUAACUACGUG